UUCAAAAUGGCAUGUCUGCAUGUGUUUCUCUACUUUAUAACUCUCACAUGGCUUUUUACUAACUGUCAACAGCUCAUACAGGUCCAUCAGGACACAAAGGACCUGGUUCUGUCCAAAGGAUCACCGUUGAAUAUCUCCUGCUCUAUAACUGGCAUGAGUAAUCCAGACCUGUUCUGGUACCGCUGGAAUGAAACAGCAGGGUUUACGCUGGUCUUCACCUCUCGAGGUGCUUUAAUGAUGGACCCAGCCAGCGAAGGCCAGUUUAAAUCCAACAGACCUACAGACCUUCAGAUGUUUCUGGAGUCUGAUGGAGUGAGUGAGAUCGGCUCUACAGUGUGGUACUGUGCAGCCAGUCCCCACAGCAUCACAGUGUCAUCACAGAGCUGUACAAAAACUACUAGAAUUAAGACUUGUUUCAAUUAAUCACUUUUGCGAGCAUUUUUCUUUGGCACCUUAACUGAGAAAAACAUGACUGUUUUGAGAAACUGAGAAAGAGUAGGCUGAAGUUUCAGACUGAAAGAUUCAACAGGAAGAAGGCAAACACAAAAGGAGAUUCUCAUGAUGGGGGUGUUCGCUAUCUCACAGUGUGUUUCCAAGUUACAUAACAGUUCAUUUUGCAAGUGAGAUCAAUUACAUUAAUCAAUUUCAAUUACAUUCCAGUUC